UAAUAGGAAAAAAAACUUAUG
rnacentral:piRNA from 1 species